UACAGAGGGUGCAAGCGUUGCUCGGAAUUAUUGGGCGUAAAGGGUAGGUAGGUGGUCUCAUUUGUCUGGGGUGAAAUCCUUGGGCUUAACCCAAGAAGUGCCCCAGAAACGGUGAGACUGGAGUCCUGGAGAGGGUCGUGGAAUUCCCGGUGUAGCGGUGAAAUGCGUAGAGAUCGGGAGGAACACCAGAGGCGAAGGCGGCGACCUGGACAGGUACUGACGCUGAGGUGCGAAAGCGUGGGGAGCAAACAGG
rnacentral:rRNA from 1 species